rnacentral:rRNA from 2 species
GAAUGCUGACAUAAGUAACGAUAAAGCGGGUGAAAAGCCCGCUCGCCGGAAGACCAAGGGUUCCUGUCCAACGUUAAUCGGGGCAGGGUGAGUCGACCCCUAAGGCGAGGCCGAAAGGCGUAGUCGAUGGGAAACGGGUUAAUAUUCCCGUACUUGGUGUUACUGCGAAGGGGGGACGGAGAAGGCUAUGUUGGCCGGGCGACGGUUGUCCCGGUUUAAGCGUGUAGGUGUGUGUUCCAGGUAAAUCCGGUUCACUUUAACACUGAGGCGUGAUGACGAGGCACUACGGUGCUGAAGUAACAAAUGCCCUGCUUCCAGGAAAAGCCUCUAAGCAUCAGGUAACAUCAAAUCGUACCCCAAACCGACACAGGUGGUCAGGUAGAGAAUACCAAGGCGCUUGAGAGAACUCGGGUGAAGGAACUAGGCAAAAUGGUGCCGUAACUUCGGGAGAAGGCACGCUGACACGUAGGUGAAGUGAUUUACUCACGGAGCUGAAGUCAGUCGAAGAUACCAGCUGGCUGCAACUGUUUAUUAAAAACACAGCACUGUGCAAACACGAAAGUGGACGUAUACGGUGUGACGCCUGCCCGGUGCCGGAAGGUUAAUUGAUGGGGUCAGCGCAAGCGAAGCUCCUGAUCGAAGCCCCGGUAAACGGCGGCCGUAACUAUAACGGUCCUAAGGUAGCGAAAUUCCUUGUCGGGUAAGUUCCGACCUGCACGAAUGGCGUAAUGAUGGCCAGGCUGUCUCCACCCGAGACUCAGUGAAAUUGAACUCGCUGUGAAGAUGCAGUGUACCCGCGGCAAGACGGAAAGACCCCGUGAACCUUUACUAUAGCUUGACACUGAACAUUGAGCCUUGAUGUGUAGGAUAGGUGGGAGGCUUUGAAGUGUGGACGCCAGUCUGCAUGGAGCCGACCUUGAAAUACCACCCUUUAAUGUUUGAUGUUCUAACGUGGACCCGUUACCCGGGUUGCGGACAGUGUCUGGUGGGUAGUUUGACUGGGGCGGUCUCCUCCUAAAGAGUAACGGAGGAGCACGAAGGUUGGCUAAUCCUGGUCGGACAUCAGGAGGUUAGUGCAAUGGCAUAAGCCAGCUUGACUGCGAGCGUGACGGCGCGAGCAGGUGCGAAAGCAGGUCAUAGUGAUCCGGUGGUUCUGAAUGGAAGGGCCAUCGCUCAACGGAUAAAAGGUACUCCGGGGAUAACAGGCUGAUACCGCCCAAGAGUUCAUAUCGACGGCGGUGUUUGGCACCUCGAUGUCGGCUCAUCACAUCCUGGGGCUGAAGUAGGUCCCAAGGGUAUGGCUGUUCGCCAUUUAAAGUGGUACGCGAGCUGGGUUUAGAACGUCGUGAGACAGUUCGGUCCCUAUCUGCCGUGGGCGCUGGAGAACUGAGGGGGGCUGCUCCUAGUACGAGAGGACCGGAGUGGACGCAUCACUGGUGUUCGGGUUGUCAUGCCAAUGGCACUGCCCGGUAGCUAAAUGCGGAAGAGAUAAGUGCUGAAAGCAUCUAAGCACGAAACUUGCCCCGAGAUGAGUUCUCCCUGAGACUUUAGGUCUCCUGAAGGAACGUUGAAGACGACGACGUUGAUAGGCCGGGUGUGUAAGCGCAGCGAUGCGUUGAGCUAACCGGUACUAAUGAACCGUGAGGCUUAACCUU